rnacentral:rRNA from 1 species
UACGUAGGGGGCUAGCGUUGUCCGGAUUUAUUGGGCGUAAAGAGCGUGUAGGCGGCCAGGUAGGUCUGGUGUGAAAACUCGAGGCUUAACCUCGAGAUGUCAUCGGAAACCAUCUGGCUAGAGUCCGGAAGAGGAGAGUGGAAUUCCUGGUGUAGCGGUGAAAUGCGCAGAUAUCAGGAGGAACACCGGUGGCGAAGGCGGAUCUCUGGGCCUGUUCUGACGCUGAGGCGCGAAAGCUAGGGGAGCGAACAGG